rnacentral:rRNA from 1 species
AGAGUUUGAUCCUGGCUCAGAGUGAACGCUAGCGGCGUGGUUAAGACAUGCAAGUCGAACGAUGAAGCCCAGCUUGCUGGGACGAUUAGUGGCAUACGGGUGCGUAACACGUGAGCAACCUGCCUUGAAGUGGGGGAUAACCCGGGGAAACCCGGAUUAAUACCGCAUGUGGUCCUUUUCUCCCUGGAAAAGUGACUAAAGUUUGUAAUGACGCUUCAAGAGGGGCUCGCGGCCUAUCAGCUUGUUGGUGAGGUAACGGCUCACCAAGGCUAAGACGGGUAGCUGGUCUGAGAGGAUGAUCAGCCACACUGGAACUGAGAUACGGUCCAGACACCUACGGGUGGCAGCAGUUUCGAAUCAUUCACAAUGGGGGAAACCCUGAUGGUGCAACGCCGCGUGGAGGAUGACGGCCUUCGGGUUGUAAACUCCUGUCACCAAGGAACAAACGGCAGGUUCAUAGCCUGUCCUGAGUUAACUUGGAGAGGAAGAGGUGGCUAACUCCGUGCCAGCAGCCGCGGUAAUACGGAGACCUCGAGCGUUACUCGGAUUCACUGGGCGUAAAGAGUAUGUAGGCGGUUUGGUAUGUCAGGUGUGAAAUCCCGGAGCUCAACUCCGGAACUGCGCCUGAAACUACCAAACUCGAGGCCUGGAGA